rnacentral:tRNA from 1 species
UGGCUGAGCGGUAAAGUGUUUGGCUUCCGAACAGAAGUCCCGAGUUCGAAUCCUGG